AUGACCUUCCUGUAUAUCCCAACAGAUGCAAACCUGACAAAAGUGAUUCAUACGUUUCCAGCCCAUGACACAGAUCUUUGCAACGUGCCCUGCUGUCCAACACACUCUAAAACUAAAGCUACUGAAAUAAGAAUUCAUCAUUUUGAAGAUACAAUUACUACUUCACUUUAACAAACAGGUAAUUUGUGCUGAGUCUGGCUCCUCUAUUUUUGUCUUCAUCGUUUAAGUUACUCAAUUGUGCUAUCUCUUCAGAGAAUUUCCCUAAUAAUUUUUUCCUAACCUCAGAUUAUUGUGCCUUAUAUUUCAUAAUUUUAUUUAACUAACCAAAUAUUAAAAU
rnacentral:lncRNA from 1 species